rnacentral:lncRNA from 1 species
AAGAUGGCUUUCCAGGUUCUCGCAUGACUGCUGUAGCAUGUAUGCCCCCAGAUGUGUCAUUUGUCCCUGAACAAGGCCAAGUGAGAUCUUCAAGGACAGCAGGCAAAAUUCCCUUUAGCUUUCAAGCGUCUGAUCCAGCCUUCAAAUCCUACACCUAACGAUGCUCUCUUCCAAAGGGCCCCUUAUCUGUGUUUUCGGCUAACAAGCGGUGGACGCCUCCUCGAAGCAUCCGCUUCACUGCAGAAGAAGGGGACUUGGGGUUCACCUUGAGAGGGAACGCCCCCGUUCAGGUUCACUUCCUGGAUCCUUACUGCUCUGCCUCGGUGGCAGGAGCCCGGGAAGGAGAUUAUAUUGUCUCCAUUCAGCUUGUGGAUUGUAAGUGGCUGACGCUGAGUGAGGUUAUGAAGCUGCUGAAGAGCUUUGGCGAGGACGAGAUCGAGAUGAAAGUCGUGAGCCUCCUGGACUCCACAUCAUCCAUGGUGAGCGCUGACACCUCCCUGGGCAGUCAGUGGUGGCGUGGAGUGAAAUCUGCAUGAGUUC